CACGCAGGGCGCAAGCGUUGUCCGGAAUUAUUGGGCGUAAAGAGCUCGUAGGCGGUCUGUUACGUCUGCUGUGAAAACCCAGGGCUUAACCCUGGGCUUGCAGUGGAUACGGGCAGACUAGAGGCAGGUAGGGGAGAAUGGAAUUCCCGGUGUAGCGGUGAAAUGCGCAGAUAUCGGGAGGAACACCGGUGGCGAAGGCGGUUCUCUGGGCCUGACCUGACGCUGAGGAGCGAAAGCGUGGGGAGCGAACAGG
rnacentral:rRNA from 1 species